UUCGUUAUCGUAGUUUCGUGAUUCCGCGUUUUCAUCAUCGUACUAUCGAGUAUCGCGUUUCAGAUCAACACAUACAAAGGCGAUGGCCCUAACGGAAUUCCGUAGCGUGAAGAAAUGGUAUAAAAGAUACUUUCAAGGUGUAGAUGAGCAACAUUCACAUGGACCCGACUCAGUUAUAUCGAUGUAAGACCACGCAUUCAGCAGUUUUCAGCGGAAGAGGACGAAUGCAGAAUAAAUGCUGAUAAUUUUUCCUGGACUGUGCCUGACUGACGCUGGAUUUGGUCGUAUUAAACAGUUACACAGGAGAUCUGACGUUGAUACCGUAAACCAGGCAGCGGAAGUGGUAAACCAUUCAUCUCAUAGCAACGAGACUGUCGUAUAUGGCAACAGUGGAAACAUUUCAUUUAGGCUACUUUUAAAAAAUCACAAUGUUUCCAAAUACCUGUAUCGCAGAUUCCGAUUCACGUCUGAUGAACCAGGUGUCAUGCUCGUUAGUGUCUGCAGCAGAUUCCAAGGAAGUAAGAUUUGUAGUUGAAAGACACAUCUUAAAACGCGCCCAUAUGAUGUUCAACCGGAAGUCACUCCCACAGGAUUCGGAGCUAAAUAGUAGCAGUAUCUAUUCAGACAUAUGCAACAACCGUUAUAGAAUUUCUUUAUUUGAAUGUUGAUUCAAACUAUAAUGCUUUGCACUGAACAUAUAAUAGGAUGUAGCGGUGAUAUAUGGAAUUGAUAACGUAGCAGAGGGGCUCCGGAAUCAUUUUUAUGCAAGCACGGCGGCGAUCCAGCGUGCUAUCAAAAUGAAGCAAGCAAUAUUUCCU